GAUUCCAGGUGUGCUCGGCGCAUUUCGUGACUGGGAAAAAGACGGGCGAGGAUAUCGUGCCGCAGCUUAACCUCGGGUAUGCGCGGAAGGUUGUCGUUGGGAGACGCCGUUUGGUGCGUGACGCAAGUGAGAAACCGCUGAUCACUAAGAAGCAAAGACUCUCCUCACAAGCUAGCUCUGGAGCUGUCACCGACUGUACGCAACCCGCCGAGCAGGUCAACGUCUCGGCCUCGACGUCACAACCAACUGCUGCUGAGCACACGGUCACCGACUGUACGCAAGCCGCCGAGCAGGUCAACGUCUCGGUCUCGACGUCACAACCAACUGCUGCUGAGCACACGACAACUGAUCACGGCCAAGUUCGCCCGGAUGUGUGCCACCAGGGGAUCC